UCCCUGGUGGUCCAGUGGUUAAGAACCUGCCUUGCAAUGCAGGGGACCCAGGUUCAAUCCCUGGUCAGGGUG
rfam:TPA: Bos taurus chromosome X, whole genome shotgun sequence.